GACAGCAGUAGCCGCGGGAAUACGUAGGGUGCGAGCGUUAAUCGGAAUUACUGGGCGUAAAGCGUGCGCAGGCGGUUACAUAAGACAGAUGUGAAAUCCCCGGGCUCAACCUGGGACCUGCAUUUGUGACUGUAUAGCUAGAGUACGGUAGAGGGGGAUGGAAUUCCGCGUGUAGCAGUGAAAUGCGUAGAUAUGCGGAGGAACACCGAUGGCGAAGGCAAUCCCCUGGACCUGUACUGACGCUCAUGCAGGAAAGCGUGGGGAGCAAACAGGAUUAGAUACCCGAGUAGUCCCUGUCUCUUAUAA
rnacentral:rRNA from 1 species